GUCACCACCAACAAGAACCAUUCAUUUAAGAAAACAUAUACAAUUACAUUUUCUUUUAUUUUUAUUUGCUUAUGAAAACCCCACAUUGUCCCCCUAUCUUAACAUUUUUUAUUUAUAUAUCCCAAGGAAAAAAUAAUUAAAUCACAGUUUAUUUUAAUUUUGUUUUAACAUAUUAAAUCUCUCUUCAGUAUAACUUAAAAAUCAAAGAUGAAAAAAAAAAAAAAAAAAAAACCCUCCAAUAUUUAAAUUCUCAUGUUCUGUAUCAAAACUUAAAAAAAGAUUACUAAUCUUUCACCACCAAACCGGUUCGAACUCGAAUCAUCAUCAUUACAGAUUAUUCGUCGUCUUGUUGUUGUUGUUAUUGCUAGGCACAAGCUCGAACUCACCUCCUUCCUCUUCUUCAUUCUCCUCUUCCUCAUCUUCAUCGUCGUACUCUUCAUCUGUACCUUCUUCAUCAUCAAAGUUCUGCUCCGACGGCUGAGAUUGCUGAUCAGGCUGAGCCGCUGCGGGAGUAGUUGUCGCAGUCGUUACAGCCGGAGGCCAUUGCUGCUCUGGUUGGACCAUCAAGGGAACAGAAUUAUCCGGUUUAACAAGACCGGAAGAUGAAGAAGAAGCUGCAAUGUUGUUGUUGCUGUGGAAUUUGUUCCUCUCUCUAUAUAAAGCAUCAAGCUGGUGAAAGUAAGGGCAAGUCUUGGAAUCUUCGGGACGUUUCUUGUUGCUCUCUUUGACUUUCUUGAAGUAUUUGUUUAUGUUUUCCCAUUUCUCUUUGCAUCUCUUUGAGUUCCUGUUGAAUCCUAACCUUCUCAUUCCCGCUGAUAUCUCUUCCCACAAUGGUCCUUUUGGUCCGUUUUCUUGAUAUUUCGAAUCAAGAUUCGUCCUCAGCUUUAUCAAUGCUUCUAUCUCCACUUUCGGCCACCGCGACGAGCUCGCUGAAGCUGCAGGAGUCAUAUUCUGAUCACCACCAUUGUCCGUUUUCGUUGUGUCUAACGUCGACACAACCGCUUGAAUUGGCUGCGGAAGCGGAGCAGGAGGUUGCGGUGGAGGAGACCGUUGAGGCGGUUGCUGCUGAUUGUUGUUAUUAAGCUGCAUUGAUGGUCGAACUUGUUGCGGCUGAGGCUGCGGUUGUGGCUGAUUCGGUUGUUUCUCUGACAGUUUUUGAAGAAAGGCCAUAACAGCAGCGUCUUUUGCAGCGGACAUAGAGCGUUCUUGAGCUAAGAUCUCGUGCUCGCGGUUGAUUCUGGCAAUCUCUUGAACUCUCCAAGACUCUUCUCUAACCAAUCUCUCGUGUUCUCGCUUUUCAACAGCUUCCAAGAAUUUGCGUUGAAGCUCUUCCUGUUUAUCAACUACUUGUUUCAUCAACCGCUCGAAAAACACCUUCCAUUUCCUCUUCCUUUUCUUCCUUGUAGUCGCAGUUCCACCACCCAUCUCCAUGUCAGAAGAAGUCGAAUAAGAAGACGAAGACGAUGUAGAAUUAUCCGAUAGAAAAUCACCGGAGAUGUUUGGAAACGAAGGUACAUUAAUCUGCUGAGUAUACGGAGGAAUUGAUGAAGAAGGAAGCGUCGGCAUAACUGUCGUUACCGGAGGAGGAGUUGAAAAUAUGGAGCUGUUGUUGUUGUUGUUGUUGUUGUUGUUGUUGUUUUGCUGUGGUCGAAGAGGCGUUUGUUGUUGAUGAUGGUGGAGUGAGGUUGUAGAUUGAGACUCGAGAGCUUCUAAUUGAUCAAAGAAGCGAUAAGUUUUGCCUUCGGAUUUUCCGGUACGACCUUCUUUGGUUCGUUUGUGGUAUUUGUAAACGUUCUCGAAUUUCUCUUUGCAUUUCUUUGCGUUUCUUAUGUAACCAUGCUCCGCCAUUUUCCUAUCAGAACCAAAGAAAAAAAAAAGAUUCACAAAUUCAUCAAAAAAUUCAUGAAGUAAAUAGACUAAUUUUGUUAUGGAAAAAAAGAAAAAGGAUAAAUAUGGUUGAGAAGUGGAUCAAUCAGCAUGAGUUUGUGACAAAAGAGUCUUGCUUUCUCAAUCUCAUGAAUAUAACAUGACCCAACUUAUAUUAUCUAACUGUUAAAUAAAGUUUAAAUUUUUAAUGAAACCCACUUCAAGAACUGUCCGAAUCUGAAUCUCACUGAACUAUACAAACCAAAAAGACAACUCUUACAAAUUCGGCGAAAUUCAAGCAAAUCCCAAAAGACAAAAUUGAACCAAAUCUCAGACAAUUAACACAGAUCUUUAAACAACACUCGUUCAAUUUAAAAAAAAAAAACAAGUUUCAUAAUCAUUCCCAAUUAGAAAACAAAAAAUUCAGAGAAGAAAAAAAGAGAGAGUGGAAAAAGAAGUAUACCAAAAAAAGGAAAAGGGAAUAAAGAGGAAAGGGAGAAGAAAACGCGAACCUAGAAACCUCUUCCCAUAAGGGACCUUUAACGCUAGCGUCUCGAAACGCUAUUCCCAUGUCAGAUCGUAUUUUCAACAACGCUAGCGUUUCCUGCCGCGGCCAACGAUUUCCUCCAAACCCACGGUCGUGCAUCUCUUCCGACACCUCAAACGCCCCAACCGCUGCUGCCGCUGCUUCUGUUGCCGCUGAAUCGUUGUUGUUUGAUUGUGGCGGUGGUGCUGUAGCAGUUGUGACGGUUGUAGCCGCCGCUGUAGUGGUCGGAGUACCACCACCCAGUUGCAUCAUCGUUUAAUAAAGUUUUUUUUUUUUUAAUCUGUUCCUCUGUUUUUCUUUUUUUUCUACUCUCUGUGUCUUUGACGGAGAAGAAGUUACAGAAAUGAAAAAUAAAAAAGAGAAAAAAUAAAAAUUUAGAGAAGAAAAAAAAAAUGGGAGAGAUAAAGAGAGAGAGAGAAAGAGAGAGUUUACAUGAGGAAGAAGAGUGAAAUCUCUGGGCGCAGGGUUUUAUGGUGUUAGAGAGUUUUGUAAAUACCUAAGUUAAUUUCUUUACUUUAUUUUAUAUUUGUCUGGUGAUGAG